rnacentral:rRNA from 1 species
GUCUACGGCCAUACCACCCUGACCGUGCCCCCUCUCAUCUGAUCUCGGAAGCUAAGCAGAGUCGGGCCUGGUUAAUACUUGGAUGGGAGACCUCCUGGGAAUACUGGGUGCUAUAGGCU